AGUGUGACGUCAGCUCUGCUCUGAUGCUCAGUCUCCUCCUGCUCGGCUCUCAGCCUCCUUUUGGUUUUUGGCUCUCAGCAGUGAGGAGGCUGAUGUUGGAGCUUCGUCCUGUUUCUGAGACGAGCUGCUCAUCAGCACCGACAAACUUUGAAUCCACUUCACACUGUUUACAUGUGAGCACACUCUGAGCACCCAAAGGACCAUCUUCACCUCCUGCUCGUCAACAUCUGGAUCUUUACACACAUCUAGUGGCCAAAGGAGCCUAUUUGGGUUGUUUGUUGUUGCUCCACCCCGGAAAAUGAAUUACACAUUUUAGCGCACGCGUCACACUCUGCUUGUCACUCACGGCGAGCAGGCAGGGGGGCUUGAGCGGAGUUACGCAUGAAGGUUCGAAGGUUUAUGGAGCUCGCUGUGUCCAAAGAUGAAAGUUUGCACCCUUGGCAAGCGGAGCGAGGCUAUGACAUGUUGAAGGACCCUGUAAACCACCUGACCUGAAGCCCGUUCAUCAGAGCUGCUAGGUGUGGAGGACACGUGGUUAUAUCAACUAACAAAAAUGAUUUUAUUAUUAUAAAUUCAACUGAAACAUAUUUAAUGAGUUAUGAUUCCUUUAGUUUUAACUGAAGUGUUGUGAGUCUUUACGUCACAAACUGAAGGAUAAUGUUCAAUAAAGUGAAUCAUAUAUAUCUUAAA